UCGCAUCCAUAUCUGUUCAUACCAGCUGAUCAGCGGCUGAGAGAGAAAACGACGCCACAGGAGAUGUCGCCGACGCAAGGGAAGAUACCCCCGGCGGCAGCCGGCGGGCACAUUGGCUAAUUGCGCAACGAUCGCAAGGUCGAUCACACUUUCCCAAUUCCAAAUGACCGUAAAAUGCGCCAAUCUA
ensembl:ncRNA C07A12.9 ncRNA